rnacentral:rRNA from 1 species
UACGGGGGGAGCAAGCGUUGUUCGGAUUUACUGGGCGUAAAGGGCGCGUAGGCGGCGCAACAAGUCACUUGUGAAAUCUCCGGGCUUAACCCGGAAAGGUCAAUCGAUACUGCGGGGCUAGAGUGCAGAAGGGGCAACUGGAAUUCUCGGUGUAGCGGUGAAAUGCGUAGAUAUCGAGAGGAACACCUGCGGCGAAGGCGGGUUGCUGGGCUGACACUGACGCUGAAGCGCGAAAGCUAGGGGAGCGAACGGG